AUGGUUCUGGGGGAUUUUAACAAAAUUUUAUUUUCUUCGGAAAAAGAGGGUGGCAAUGCGAGACCAAAUGGAAUGAUGAGGGAUUUUCGUGAAUGUUUCAUGGAUUGUGGGCCGGAGGAUUUAGGUUAUAUCGGCGACCCUUUUACUUGGAGAAGAGGCGAAAUUCGAGAGUGCCUCGAUCGAGCCAUCUGCAAUAUAGGGUGGACACACAAAUUUCCUCGGGCGGCGGUGAUUAAUGAAGAAUAUGUUCCUUCGGAUCAUCGUCCACUGGUCUUGAAUGGAAUCUUCAGACGACCAGAGGGGCGUGUAAAGCAAUUUGAAGAUAUAUAG
rnacentral:rRNA from 1 species